CAGAGUUGCAAAACUCCCUAAACCAUUGUGAACGUUACCUAAACCGUUGCUUCGGCGGGCGGCCCGGGUCCUUCCCGGCGCCCCUCGGCCCUCGCGGGCGCCCGCCGGAGGUAAACCAAACUAUUGCAUUGUAUGGCCUCUCUGAGUCUUCUGUACUGAAUAGGUCA
rnacentral:misc_RNA from 1 species